rnacentral:rRNA from 1 species
GACGAACGCUGGCGGCGUGCUUAGCACAUGCAAGUCGAACGGAAAGGCCUCUUUCGGGGGGUACUCGAGUGGCGAACGGGUGAGUAACACGUGAGUAACCUGCCCUUGACUUUGGGAUAACUUCAGGAAACUGGGGCUAAUACCGGAUAGGAGCUCCUGCUGCAUGGUGGGGGUUGGAAAGUUUCGGCGGUUGGGGAUGGACUCGCGGCUUAUCAGCUUGUUGGUGGGGUAGUGGCUUACCAAGGCUUUGACGGGUAGCCGGCCUGAGAGGGUGACCGGCCACAUUGGGACUGAGAUACGGCCCAGACUCCUACGGGAGGCAGCAGUGGGGAAUAUUGCACAAUGGGUGGAAGCCGGAUGCAGCAACGCCGUGUGCGGGAUGACGGCCUUCGGGUUGUAAACCGCUUUCGCUCAUGACGAAGCUUUGUGUGACGGUAGUGGGUAAAGAAGCACCGGCUAACUACGUG